AGCUAAUGAGAAGACUAAAAGUGAUAAAUACAAUUAUCAAAGGAAAGAAUAGCAGUAGCAAAGGCUGGUAAGAUAGAACGAACCAAAAAGCAGAUUAAUUACUGAAAAGUUAUCUUCAGUAGCUUGUUACUAUUAUUAGUAUUCUCAGCAAGUAUUUUAUCAUAAAGCAUUAGUGUUGUUUAGUUGUUAAUUUGCAAGUAUGUUUUGUAAUAAUAAUUAGUUCUACAAUUUGCUGUCACACGCAAACUACAAAUGAUAUUAGGUAUACCCCUUUUCUUGUUAACUUCCAUGCGAGAACCUUUCAAUUUAAGGGUUUCAAAGAGAACUUUGGAAAAACCAAAAGCGCUAUCUAAUUUCUGGAUGUAUUUCUGGAGGGUAUCUUUACAGGGUAAAGUUUUGGAGGAAUCAGCACAUUUUUCUCUUUCUUCUUUGAUGGUCUGCUUCAGAGUUUCAUUCUAAACAAUCAAUCGAUAUAGAAGGUAUAUGUAAUUCAAGUGAAUCCAAUAUAUGAAAUAUAUUAUAAAUGAUAUCUCAAUACCAUAAAUUUGAUUAUGGAUGUCAAUACAGAAAAACUUACCUAUAAACAUUCUACUCCUAUAAAAAAUAGUGAAGGAAAUAUUACAGAAAACACAACAAAUGGCUAUUUAUCAGAAGACACUAAUUGUACGGCUAAUUCGAGUGAAUUAUUUUCAGAUAAUGAGAAUGAGAAUAUAAAUGAAAAUGAUUUGAUAUGUUAUACACCUAAUGUUUCAGAAACUGAGACUUCGUUUUUGAAUAUCUCUGAAACGUCUUUAUUAGAUACCAAUAAACUAUUCCAGACUUCAAGUGAAGAAAAACCAGCAGUUAUUCCAAGUACACCGUUAAGUUCAUUACCAUUUAUAUCAAAGAUUAAUGAGCAGUAGACAUCUGAUUUAGAAACACCUCAAAUGAAUAAAAGUUUUCCUAUAAAAUCAUCAGAAAGUAUCGAACAAACUGUUUAUUUAAAAAAAUGUACUCCAAAUAAUUCUUAUUUUAAGAAUAUAUUUGAUGAAUUUACUUCAAAGUCUACUAUGAUAAAUUAUGCAAGAAUGAGAGGAAGAACUAAAAGGAAAAUUUAUAAGAAUACUUUUGCUAACAUGAACGUUGUUAAAAUUGAAUUGAAUAAUCAAGAUAGUGAAAAUGAUAUAGUAGCUAUAGAUACAUGCAGUGAUAAAGAAAAGAAAAAUAUUCUUCUGAAAAUUAAUAGCGCACAAGAUUUUUUCUCUGAUGAUUGAUUGCUAGCGUAAAUCAAAUUUGUGCUAGUGCUUCGCUGAAAAAAUGAUAUACAUAACAUUGAAAGUAUGAAUAAAAAUAGGCGCUUCGAAGAAGUAUUAGUAGAUAAUAUUACAGUAUUAAAAACACAUUAUAAAGUAGGAAAAAAUGAAUGUAAUGAAAAGAAAAUAUUUAAUAAUGAUAGUAGAAUAACAUUAGAUGUAUCAAUAAAUAUUAUAGGAUUUACUAUAACAAAUGGAAAACUCGUAAAUGUAUCAGAGUCUGCUAUAACAAAAGCAAAAUCUUUUCUGGAAAUAGAUGACAUUGUAUCUUUAACGAAUAUUCAAUUAAACAAUGAAAGUAAUUUACUUAAUAAUCAAAAAAUAAAAAUUCUAUCAUCUUCUUUUGUAAUAGUAGGAGGUCGAUCAUUGAAUAUUUUCAAUAAAGCUUUAUCCUAUUGUAAGAAAAUGCUAUUGGUACAACUAAAAGAUAUUUAAAUUAAUUAGAACGUUACAAAUGAAUUAAAUUAACCUAUGAAAAUAUUAACAUAAAUUUAAGUAAAUCUCCUGUAAAAAAAUCUAUAGUUUCAUAAAUUGGAUUAACAAUGAUGAUAUUCGUGAUACUAACCAAUGCAAUAAUUUGCUUAAUAAACCAAUAAAUAAACGAAAGAGUCUAAA
rnacentral:misc_RNA from 1 species